CUUGUUUCCACGCCCCGCCGCCGACUCAAAACAAAACAAGAUGCUGCAACAGCAGGCUGUGCCUGUUGCUUAAGACUAUCCAGCUAAGGAAAUAAUCGGUUGCCGGUUCCCAGUUGUUUCCCGACAAAUCAAAACAGGAUAAACAUGUAGAAAGCUUUUGAUGAAUAUGUUUGGACAGGAGUUCGAUUCUCCUCGCCUCCACGC
rnacentral:tmRNA from 1 species